CCUGAAUUAGAACUUGUCUCAGAGCCAAGGUGCCAUCAGCUAGAAUCCCAAUCUCACUUUGCAAGUUAUGCAACCAUUGCUUGAAUAAAGAGGAAUCAAUAGCAUUCCUUUAGUAAUUAAUAAUAAUAU